rnacentral:misc_RNA from 1 species
UCUCUAAUCCAAAAAAGCUCAAAUCUUGUACUAUGGGUAACUAUAUUUCUUGCACUUUAUCAGGGCCAGGAGGCAACAAAGAAUCAAGAGGGAUAAAAGUUAUAUUCCCAUGUGGUGAAAUUAGGCAUUUUUAUGAACCGAUUAAAGCAGCAGAGAUUAUGAUGGAAACUCCUAAUUUCUUUCUUGUAAACACUCGAUCACUUCAUAUUGGAAGGAGAUUUUCUGCGUUAAAUGCAGACGAAGAUCUUGAAAUGGGAAAUGUUUAUGUUAUGUUUCCGAUGAAAAGAGUGAAUUCUUUUGUAUCAGCAGGUGAUAUGGGUGCUCUGUUACUUACUGCGAACUCUGUUUCCAAAAGGGUGUCAAUAGGGA